ACGAGAGAACAGGGAUGAGGAUAUGUGUAUUAAGUUUCUUUUUAAGUUUAUACUUACGAUGGGUCAACGUGUAAGGUAAUAUAGAGAUGCAUAGACAUUAAAUCAAGUAAUGGAACAGUAAAAACAUAGUAAUUAUUGUCUGGAGCAUAUGUUGUUACACACUAACUUUGGUGUUGCAUUCAGUUAGCGUCUUUGUUAAUAAUACUUCAAUUUGGUUUGUCUGGGGUUGAGCAUCUUACAAAUUACACCAUUGUAUUUCCAAGGAGCCUUCUCUUGGCAAUCCAGAGGAUAGAGAUGUUGGGGAAGCUGAGUCUCCUUCUCCCAGGUGGUCUCCUGCACACAGCCCUUCAAGUCCACAUGAAACCGACAUAGAGUCUGAGGGCAAGAAUGUUGUUGGAGGUGAAUCUCCUUCUGCCAGGCACACUGAAACACAGGACUCUAACAAUUCAUCAGCACCUUCUUCUGCGGACAGUGGUUCAGCUGACAACCUUUUUUUUAAAUAUACCUUGCCGACAGGCCCAUGGUUUUUUUUUUUAUUAUUGAUAGAAAGGAUUGGACAGACCUACGUAAACAACAGGUUGGACACCAGUUCAAAGACCUACAAUGGACAAAUGUAAUAGUAAAAGGAAUACGUUCUGUCCACCCAUAUUGCAGCAUAGCAUUCAAAAGGCAUACAGUCAAAAGGAAAGUGUCAAAAAGAAGAGGGCCUAUAUUCCAUUGCCUGGCCUAUUGCAGAUUUGCAGAUUGCCCUGUUUGUAUUGAAGUGAUUGUACAUGACGAGAGUACUCUGAAAGCCUGGGUGACAUUUCAGGGAGUGGAGGUUUGCCAUGGUAUGGCUGAAUUACAAACAAGCUGAUGAGAGAGACAUUAUUGGCAAGCAGUUAGAGACAAUCCUUCCAAGAGCCUUACAUUUACAGUCUCUGGAAAAAAUCGAACCUAGUGUCUUCGAAUCAGGAUGUCGAGACCAAGCACCCACACCUGAAGUCCUCAAAAAUAUAGCUUUCAAAACACGGAAAAAAUUCAGAAGACAUGACAAUGAACUGUUAAGUCUUCAGAAAAUGGUUGAAGAAAAAACAGAUGAAGAUAAUGAUGUAUUACAGAAGGUGCUCUUACAUCUCAAAGGAGUAAUGCUAUGGUCCAAAGCCACAAUCCGGCUUUUCCAUCAGAGAUGCAGAGAUGAUGUUGUGUAUAUCGAUGCCACAGGAAGCAUUAUACAGAAAGUACAAGGAGAAUCAGCACCCAUAUAUGUGUACGAGUUGAUGGUGAGACAUCCUAUUAAAGGCCGCUCUCCCAUCCCUGUAGCAACUUAUGUAACCU